UGUGUCAUUCCCAUACAUUGUUUACGUCCAUUGCUUCCAGGAACAAAAGGCUUGUUUGAGAUGAACUACACCAGCCUGCCACUAAGAUCUUCCAGUUGCAAGCUGAGAUGAACAUCAUUCAACAGCAGAAUAAAGAAGCUCCAGCAGAUGCACUCAGGCAAUAUUUGCAGAGGCCGGCACCUGCUGGAGAAAGGACACCUGAUCCUUCAUGUUCUCCUCUCUCUGAACUUUCUGCAGGAGUAGGGACAUCCAAUAGUGAUACUCCAGGGACCAGUGACACACAGGCCAGGAACACACAACCUGCAUCAACUGAGUCUAUUUAAUAGUAUUUAUUCAAGCCACAUCCAUACUUUAAAGUACAACAGAAAAAGGUUAGCAUGUAUUAAAAUACAAUAGCUUGUUUUCUUAAAGAAGUUCAACCACAUUCAUCAUUUCACUCACUGCUUGUCUGGCUAUACAAUAUGCUUGUAUACAGGUGAAGGUGAAGGGACACCCAGGACCACAUCAAGAACUCAGGGCACCAGUGAAAGACAGACGACUGAGACCAGGGACACGCAGCCUGAAGGAAGUUAGUCCUUUGAAUAUGUCACGAAUCCUGUCAGUUCCGGACUACAUUUCCCAUCAUCCCCCCUGUCAAUCACAUGCACUCACUCCACCUAUCACCUGUUGCCACAUCCACCCUAGCACACCACACUGAUCACCACACCCAGCUGCAGCUCAUUAUCAGGACUAUAAAGGACUCACACUCACACCACCAGUUUGCGAAGUCUUGAUUACUACUGUGUCAUUUCUGAG